CUCGCGGCUCUCGCCCCACCCCAGCCACCAAACGAGGAACCCUAGCCUCCUUUCUCCUUCCCCUCGACCCCCACGAGCCGCUGCACCCCUCCCUCUCCCUUCCGUGCGUGCGCUCGGCCAAGGACGCUGCCGUCGCCCUCGGCUCCUCCUCCACCACCUCGCAUUUUUCUCCUCCUCGCCUUCCCAUCGCUCGCGCGCAUGUCGCUGCCGUCGGAAAACAGGACUGCGGGUCGCUUCCUCCUUUUCCUCCCGUCGGAUCUAAGGCGUGCGGCCGUGGACGCGAGCCUCUCCGGUGGCGGCGGCAAAGGGUGACCACAUGGAUCGGUCCCUGCAGGAGAGAGAAGAUGGGAGAGAGGGAGAGAAGGAAGGAGAGGAGGGAGGCCCGGCGGCGGACGGGAGAGGGUCACCGACCGGCGCCGGCGAGGUCAGGUGCGACCUGGUGGUUGGUGGCGGCUCGAUCCACUCCUGGAUCCUUCUUCUUCCACUUCCCCGCUGCCUAACACCGAGGAAGAGGGCUGGCCGAGGAAGAGGGCGAGGAUGCAGGGAUUGAAGAGGGUGUUCCUGCGUUCAUCGCCUGGCCAAGGACGAGGACGACGACGUGGGGUGGAGCAUGUCAUCCCUCUGGUUAUCACCUUCCUUACUGCUACUGGGCUGAGAUGAGGGUUUUCUCCACCGAUUGUGGUGGCCUGAGUCAGAGAUCGACAGCCACAUGCUUGUGGCUACCACACAAAACGUGCUCUCUUGCUGACCUCGAGGUCCAGACGCAAUGGAUUGUCUCCAAGGUGUUUCUCUGACCAGCAACAACAAAACUCCGCACUUUCUCAAUUGCGAUGUGAUUGGUUCAUGUCCACCAAGGCUGUUGCGUUGGUCGCGGUACUCGGCUUCCUUUGGGUUUGCUUGCUGUCGAGGAAGAAGAAAGGUGUGAACUAUGUGAAAAUGGACAAACCCACUAUCGCAGAUGGUAAUGAAAAAACUGACACCAACUAGCUCACUCUAUAAAUUUUGUCUAGGCUCAAGCUAACUACGUAUCUGCACCAUGAUUGCUCGCUGGUGAUAUAGAUGUAUGCCUAACAUCAGGUUAUUACCACACCAUAGUAGCUGCUCGCUGGGAAUAUAGAUAUAUAUUUCAUUUUGCAGGUUUGAAACAAGCUGGUUCCUUUAUAUGAAAUUGUUUAUUCAUGAUUUGUUAAUGUAGAAAUCAUUUCAUUAAUUAGUUUUGUAUGGUCCGUGUGAUUCAUGCUGCAAUGAUUUUCUUCAGUCGGAUAAUCGUGUAGUACUAUGGCAGUGAUAUACUGAUAUCGUGUAGUAAUCGAUGCUCUGUUCAUGGCUUUUUUCUUAUUUUAUCCUUCUUUGCUUUUUUCCUUUCCUGCAAGAAGAUGUCGAGUCAUGUAAUAUGUUCAAAGAAGAGAGAAUCUGCAUUUUAUGAAUCCUUUCUUCUUUCUUCAUUGUUACUUCAAGUUAGUGAAUUCAUUUAAGUUGUAUUGAGCAGCUUCAUGUGCAUGGUUUCUUCAUCUACACAUCUUAUUCAGUCACGAGGCCAGUAAGAUCUUUUGCCUUUUAGAAAAAGGGAGAUGCCAUUUAGACCUUACUCUUCCAACUUGAUCUUUAACUUGCUACUACUGUUUCUAAGCAUUUUCCCAAGCAUUUUUUAUUUGCUUCAGAGAAUGAGCUCACCUUAUUCAGUGGAUGUGCCAAGUAAAAAAAUUAGAAACUGAACAAUUAGUUCCACUCUUAAAUUUUGUACAACGGUCCAAAUUAUCCAAUAAAUCAUUUGUUAGCAGGGUCUAAUUAUAGAAGUUGAAUCAGUUGUUCCAAAUUACAAUGUGUGACUUAUUCCAUUUGUUUAUCCUUUUGUCCUUUUAAUCAAGAACAAUGUUUAGAGCUUACAUGGUUGUCCAAAUUUAGUUCUGUAAAAGAGGAAUAUUGAUAUCAUGCAAUGAUCAGUGCAGAUUAGGAUAGUUAUAGAGUUCUUCCUCAGCUUUCAUUGAGCAAAGAUUGAAUCUGUAUGAUUUUUUUCUAAUACCAAGUAAAUCUUGGUCUGCAUUCUGUUAGUUUUCCUACUGAGUUUUUUUUUGGCUAUUUUCGUUUAAAUUGGUAGCUGAUGUGAAAAAGUGUGUGUUGACAUGCAUGUAACCAAAUCAUGUAUUAAUGUGAGUUACUACAUAUACUUGCCUAUCUCUUUCCAGAAGCACAACCCUCUUGAUCCAACUAGGAACAUCAAAACCAAAUGGGAAAUCAUUGAGUGGACUUCAGAUGGCCAUGCUGUGAGUACACCAUUAGUAUCUGAAUCUACUUCGUAUAAUUAAGACACACUUUCUACAUAUCGCUGCUAUAUUGAUACCAUGUGAUCACUUAACAUGAGUGUGACUAGCCUAUUUUCUUGCCUAACUGUGUGAUUGCAUGUAGUAAUGCAUGGCUUCUCUAUUUAAAUGAAGAGUUGUGUUUAUCAUAAUAAUUAUAUACCACAGACUUGUUUCUUUCUGUUUAUGUAAUAAUGCAGUUCGUCUUCUACCAUAUGUUUUCUUUGUUACAUGUCUUCUAAUUGUUCAUCUUUUUUUCUCUUUCGACGACAAAAUAACUUCGCGUUUGGCGUAACAAAAUAACUUUUUUCUCUUUGUUACAUGUCUUCUUAU